UGGGGUGUAGCCAAGCGGUAAGGCACAUGGUUUUGAUCCAUGCAUGCGCAGGUUCGAAUCCUGCCACCCCAGCCA
rnacentral:tRNA from 1 species